AUGAAUAAGCAAUGGAAAAUCUUGAACUGGAAUAUUAGAGGCAUCAAUGAUAAAGAUAAGUGGUUAGCUAUUCAAAACAAAAUUGAUGAGACAGACUGUGACUUGAUUUGCAUCCAAGAAACAAAGAGGGAAACACUUGACAGCAGGUAUCUUAAGCAGUUUUGCCCAAAACGUCUGAACAAGUUUGAUUACCAACCAUCUGUAGGUGCAUCAGGAGGGUUACUAGUGGUCUGGAAUGAUUCCCUUUUCACGGGAGAGACUAUCUCUAAAAACUCCUCUAUCUCCAUUCGGUUCACCUCCAAGCUCUCUUCUGAUACCUGGACUUUAUCAAAUAUCUAUGGCCCUUGUCAUUCUUCUGACAGGGUUAUUUUCAUGGACUAG
rnacentral:rRNA from 1 species